rnacentral:rRNA from 1 species
AGUGAACGCUGGCGGUAGGCCUAACACAUGCAAGUCGAACGGCAGCACAGUAAGAGCUUGCUCUUACGGGUGGCGAGUGGCGGACGGGUGAGGAAUACAUCGGAAUCUACUUUUUCGUGGGGGAUAACGUAGGGAAACUUACGCUAAUACCGCAUACGACCUACGGGUGAAAGCAGGGGAUCUUCGGACCUUGCGCGAUUGAUUGAGCCGAUGUCGGAUUAGCUAGUUGGCGGGGUAAAGGCCCACCAAGGCGACGAUCCGUAGCUGGUCUGAGAGGAUGAUCAGCCACACUGGAACUGAGACACGGUCCAGACUCCUACGGGAGGCAGCAGUGGGGAAUAUUGGACAAUGGGCGAAAGCAUGAUCCAGCCAUACCGCAUGGGUGAAGAAGGCCUUCGGGUUGUAAAGCCCUUUUGUUGGGAAAGAAAAGCAGCAGGUUAAUACCCCGCUGUUCUGACGGUACCCAAAGAAUAAGCACCGGCUAACUUCGUG